AUCAAAAUUCUCUCACAUCUCACCUCUCACCUCUACCUCUCGCCCCUCUCUCUCUCUCUCUCCCUCAUCUCUCCCUCAUCUCUCUUUCCUCCAUGAACCUCCAUUAGAGAGACCUUGGAAGCUCCUUCACUAAAUCAAGCCCUAAAUACUUUCUACACUUGAAUUCAAAGAGAUUAGUAGAGUUUAAGCUUGAAGCUAGAGAGAGGAAAAUUUGUGCUUUUAUCUUGUCUUGAACACGAGCGGAGUGAAGAAGUAAGUUGUCUCCUUUCUAUCUAGAGUUUGAGCGAAGACCUUCAGGUGAGCAAUAUUUUGAGUAUACAUAUAUCAUACGAGCUUUCUAAACUGUUUUGAUGAUGUUAUGAGUUUGACGAAUAAUUUGAGUUAAACAAUGUUUUAAACUAUUGACUUUCCAAGUUUUGAUGAUGUUGAGCAUGUAUAUUACCCUCUACUGAUGAGAUGAGACAAAUUCGGUCCUGCCAUAAGCGGGAUUUUGUGCACAGAGGUGACUGCGAGCCGUCUUCGGGUCGGCUGGUCACGGUACUUGAGAGGGAGGCCUACUUCUAGUACCUUUGAUGAUGAUGAGUUGUAGAUGUGGUACAUACGUGAUGAGUAUUUUGUUAGCGCUAUCAUUUAUUUAUGAUGUUUAUGAUUUAAAACUGCUUGCACAGGUUCUUUUACUUUUAAUCCCUGUGUAUUGCUGAGAUGUGGCAAGUUCAAUCUAUAGCUCUAAGAGCAGCUUUCUUGUUUUUCGGCGUUUGCCCGCUGAGUAUUCUGUACUCACGCCCUGCAUGUAUUUCUAAAUGUGCAGGAUAAACAUGGAGCGAGAUUGGUCUGGUGCUGGUGGGGGAGUAGUUUCGUUUGAAGUAUUUACUUUAUCGCUUUUCCUUUGUGUUGAUAAAGUCUUGAUGUGGAGUUACUUUGUUUUUGAAUCAAGCAAUCUACUCUCGGUUAUGUGUCUUCAUACAUAUAAUCGGUUCACCUUUUGCUGCGAUACUCUGAAUAAUAUGUUUCCUUGUGAAUAUUUAGAUA